UUUUAUAAAAAUAUGUUUGGUUCAGGUUUGAAAUUCAUUAUCUUUUAUUAUUUUAUUAUACAUUUAUUUUUCUAUUAAACAGCAGGUGGCUGUGGAAAGAAUAAGACAAUUAUUAAAAGGUGUCACAUGAAGGCUUCUUGCCUCUGGGAAAGAGCUGAGUGUCCUUGGAAAAUGUUGUAUCUUGCCUUUGAUGUAGGGAUGACCAUCAAUUGGAAGGUUUCAAUUAGAGAGAAAGGCAAGAGGAGAAAGGUUUAACUGUGUGAAACAGGAAGGGUGAAUCUUAGCAGAGUGGUAAGUCAUGUGGUUAUUGAGAAAUAACAAAUAAGGAGAUGCAGCCUAUAAUAACCACACCCUGGCCAGAGACAAACUCAGAUGUCCGUCUUGACUUAGUUGAUUUGCUUAAUAAAGUCUAAUUUUGACUUCUGGAUUCUCUGGAACUCUGCCUGUUGAGCUUCAUUUGCAAUAAAGAGAAGACUUUUUUCCACAACAGUGGCGGCUGGCUUGACUGCAGAAACAGCAGGAUAUAGACUAGCGUGAAGCUGUGAACUCGUAUCCUUCCUAGUGUGCACUUUUAACAAUACGACUGAGUCUGCCAGACGCCUACUCUGGAGUACGUGACAGAAGAAUCGGCUAUUAACUGUGAAAGCUCGUCCGGAAAAUUAUAAACGAUGAAAAGUGCUUACAGGUGUUCCUUGACCUUUCUGGCAUUUUUGUGUAUCUUGAAAGUAUGUGAACUGUGCCAGUCUAUUCGAGGAAGUCGUGCUUCCAAGCUUGUUGCAGGGGGGAGCAGUCUCCAGUUGAGCUGUGAAGUGCAACACUGUGGGGUCACUGGCUGGACUGGAGGAUGGGAAUUCCAGGAAAUGGGGACCACAGGAUUUACUCGCCUCACUCCCUCUGAACGAAUCGAGCUGUCCAAUUACAGCUCAACAGCCAAUAGCACACAUCUGUUAGUCGACAUUCACAACAUCAACCAGUCAGAUGCUGGAGCAUACCAGUGCAAAAUAACCUGGCCGGCACAAUUCACAAGCCGUGGGAACGUGAUAAAUAUAUGUGUAUAAAAUGAGAAAGUAUGAAUAGGUUCAUCAACCCAUGGUUGAAUCAAAUCUAUUUAAUGUGUUUAUUCCUGGACAGCAGCAGUACACUCACCAGGCAGACGCCUCUAUCAUAGAGUUAUACUGUGUCUGUGUCUCAAUGUGCUUUCCUCUUGUUCUGGGAUUAGUUUGGUGUCUGACCCGAGAUCAUCCAUCACCACCCCCUGUCCCACCUCGCUCCUACACUUCCUGUAAGAGCCAACUCUCUAUUCUGCAAAUCUGUCUAUCUAUGUCACACACACACACACACACACACACACAUAUAUAUAUAUACAUAUAUUAGUACCUACUGUUGUUUAUCUGUUUAGUGUUUAAAUGACUUGUUUUCUUGUUCUAGUUCCAGCUAGUGUGAAACCAAAAAAGGUAGUAAGUACCUCACUAUCUAACCACUACCUGGUUUGUUUAAAGAGGCCAUGAACUGCAGACUAUAUGUUCUCAGAGGUCCACUUAUAAUGCUAUCAAGAUUUUUACAUUAAAAAAACAUCCUAAUUUAAAAGUAAUAGGCUAUUUUCUAUCCUGUUUUUGACCCUCUUUUUCAAACACUCUGUUUUGAUAGGUGUGCUGCAUUCAAGACUUGGAAGUAAACGCCCACUGCUAUGAUUGGUUGGUGUAUACAGAAGUUGCAUUUGAACAGUUCGAGGCGGCAGAAUGAUUGUCCAAAACAAGUGCCUGAGCCAACUGUUUACUCCUCUGUGCAUUUCUCCUGAACAGAAAGACUUUAUCUUGCAUUUCUGUCUCGCAUGUGGCUGCAGGUAUUUUUCAUACCAGAACAAACAUGACUGUAAAUAUAGUGGCAGUACAGUUGCAAUGUUAGACACAACAAGACUGAGAAGAUAAACUGACUUGUGAUCCUUUGAAAUGUUAAUGCUUGCAAUGUUACACUUUGAUUUAUUUUAGCUGUAAUGUCAUAUUUGAUGGCAUUGAUCUUCCAGAGAUGUCUAUGAGAUGUGCUUUGUGUAUAUGGAUUGUGUGAUUGUACAUGAAAUAAAAGGAGACACAUCUGCGCAAAUGG